GUGCCAGCCGCCGCGGUAAUACGUAGGGGGCAAGCGUUGUCCGGAAUCAUUGGGCGUAAAGCGCGCGUAGGCGGUCCGGUAAGUCCGCUGUGAAAGUCAAAGGCUCAACCUUUGAAUGCCGGUGGAUACUGUCGGACUCGAGUCCGGAAGAGGCGAGUGGAAUUCCUGGUGUAGCGGUGGAAUGCGCAGAUAUCAGGAGGAACACCAAUAGCGAAGGCAGCUCGCUGGGACGGUACUGACGCUAAGGCGCGAAAGCGUGGGGAGCGAACAGGAUUAGAAACCCCUGUAGUCC
rnacentral:rRNA from 1 species